rnacentral:tRNA from 1 species
GCCGGAAUGGCGGAAUGGUAGACGCUGCGGACUUAAAAUCCGUUGUCUUCGGGCGUGCGGGUUCGAGUCCCGCUUUCGGCACCA